rnacentral:rRNA from 1 species
AAUGAACGCUGGCGGCAGGCCUAAGACAUGCAAGUCGAACGCCCUAGCAAUAGGGAGUGGCGCACGGGUGAGUAACACGUGGGAAUAUGCCUUUUGGUACGGAACAACGUCUGGAAACGGACGCUAAUGCCGUAUGGUCCCUUCGGGGUAAAGAUUUAUCGCCAAAAGAUUAGCCCGCGUCUGAUUAGCUAGUUGGUGAGGUAAUGGCUCACCAAGGCGACGAUCAGUAGCUGGUCUGAGAGGACGAUCAGCCACACUGGGACUGAGACACGGCCCAGACUCCUACGGGAGGCAGCAGUUAGGAAUAUUGGACAAUGGGGUCAACCCUGAUCCAGCCAUGCCGCGUGAGUGAUGAAGGCCUUAGGGUUGUAAAGCUCUUUUACCCGGGACGAUAAUGACUGUACCGGGAGAAUAAGCCCCGGCUAACUUCGUGCCAGCAGCCGCCGUAAAAC